rnacentral:rRNA from 1 species
AACGAACGCUGGCGGCAGGCUUAACACAUGCAAGUCGAACGCACCUUUCGGGGUGAGUGGCAGACGGGUGAGUAACACGUGGGAACGUACCCUUUUGUUCGGAAUAACCCUGGGAAACUAGGGCUAAUACCGGAUACGCCCUAACGGGGAAAGGGUUACUGCAGGAGGAGCGGCCCGCGUCCGAUUAGCUAGUUGGUUGGGGUAAUGGCUCACCAAGGCGACGAUCGGUAGCUUGGCUGAGAGGAUGGCCAGCCACAUUGGGACUGAGACACGGCCCAAACUCCUACAGGGGGCUGCAGUGGCGAAUAUUGGCCAAUGGCCGCAAGCCUGCUCCAGCCAUGCCGCGUGAGUGAUGACGGCCUUAGGGUUGUAAAGCUCUUUUACCUGGGAAGAUAAUGACGGUACCAGGAUAAUAAGCCCCGGCUAACUUCGUACCAGCAGCCGCCGUAACAC